GUUUGCUGCACCCAUCAACCCGUCAUCUACAUCAGCAGGAGGAAGCAUUCCCAUGUGAAAGAUGAGCUCCCUAUAAAAGCAACGCUCUUAUCAUCGAGAACAGAAAGUUGAAGCCAAGAGAGAGCUCCACAAGCUGACCUUGUUAAACUAACCCUUAUCUUCUUAGUCGCUUCUUUACCCAAUUAACUACCCUAGCCGAAGCCCCUUUGCCUUAUUACAUUUUGCAACAGUGUUCGUUGUCCAAUUCAGUAUACAAGUGAGUGACUCUGGAUGCUUUUUGGGGUCUUCGUUUCCUUAUGAGGGCUUCUGUGCCAUGUAAAACUUGUAUUAAAUAAAUUUGUAUGCUUUUCUCCUGUUAAUCUGUCUAUAUCGAUUGAACUUUAGGGUCCAGUCAGAACCCAAAGAGGAUGGAGGUGGAGUUUUGGCUCCUCUACAGCUAUCUGAAUAAUCAAAAUUCAAGAUAUUCCAUGUUCUUUCUGAGUUUCUUUGAAAUUAAAAAUGCAGACAACCACUCAACUAAUACGUCAGCGAGAUACGUUUUCUGUCCUUAUUGCCUUACUGAUGAAAUUGCCUUUAUUCAUAAAAAAUAAAUGUGGGAGUCUUGUUUA
rnacentral:lncRNA from 1 species